AAUAAUAAAGGAUGAUGCUUUUAUAUUCUUUAAUAUUACCUCAGCGAAGUUCCCAAAUUGUGAUUUAAAACACUCAUAACCUUUGCAUAAAGCUUACUGAUGUCAAGCUUGAAGAAGCAUCCUUACCUGAAACCUAAUAGAAAUAUGUGCACAAUGUUUCAAAAGCAGUUCUGUUUAAAUAAAUAAAUAAAGGUCCGGGUUUACCUCCAAUGUAUUUUUCCUUGCACAUUUCAUUUUGUUUCUCUGUAUGUUCACUUAAUCUUAAUGUUUUUUAUUUGUUUAUAUCACAGUUUAAAAGGUUUACUGUACCUGGAAUCAGCAUGUUUUAAAACAUGUAUUGGUGCUUUAAGAGGACAAUGAUCUCACACACACUUCUAAAGUGGUUUUGAUAUUAAUACUUUACAUAAGCAAUAAGCUCUUGGAGAGCCAUGAACUCUGAUACUGAAAAUAUGCCGUUGUUUAAUAUGCCAGUGACGUUUACAUUGGAAUAAACCUAUGUUGUCAUCUGUACACGUUACCAGGCAACACCAGUUACCUUCAGGUGUCGUAUGUUUCGUACAGCUGACAGUGUUGGACUGACCUGUUCCUGUUAUUUUUACUAAAUGACUAAAAUGUCUGAAAUAUAGUCAAGUGUUUUUUAUUUCACAUUUUGUUACAAUAAAACCACAAACUUCAUAGCAUUUUAUUUGGAAAUUUAUAUAAUAGACCAACUAAAGUUGGUGAUUUUAUACUUUUUUUUACUAGGAAACAUAAAAAAAUGUGUUAUGCAUUUUUGUAUUCAGGCUCUUUAAUACGUAUAUGAUCCAUGCAUCUUAACUGUGAAUAAUAAAUGUUAAUCACUUAUUUCUUUAUUUUGGGAACUUGGUGUCAAAGCAAUUUUCUGACUUUUCUUGCAUGUCAUUAAAAGUAUUUGAUUGGAAAUGGUUUUAAAUUUUUCAUACAGGCAUAAAUAAGUAAAUGUUUCAUGUUUUAUCUCUAAACUUUACCUUCAGUAUAAAUUAUGUUUCGCCUUUAAUUUCCACUUCUGCCUUAAUGUUAAAGAGAGUUGCUGGUGUUACAGGAGCAUGUUUUCUAUAAGUUUAUUCUGCCUUUUCAGCUCCACCAGCACGCAUGAAACUUUUGGUGCAAUUUGACGCACAUUAAAAAUAAAUGGUAUGGUGAAGUUUUAAUGAUUUAAAAACAUUUAAAAUUGCAUCCAGCCAGAGCCAGGGAGACGAUCUGUACUUGGAAAGCUUUUGUUCAUUUGAGCUUGGAUCAAAGACGGCGGCAUCUUGGUUUUUUGGCUCACUUUCUGUGAGAAGUUUUAACUUUAGGGAUGAAGUGAGAGCUAAACCAGGAAUAGAUCAUUACAAGUACGACGGUUUCCGUGUAGCAAAUGAAAACAUACAUUGAGACCUUCUCUGCUCCUGCAGCAGGUUCCUCCAUACCUGAGAGCUU